AGAUAAUUACCUUGGUUUCCACUCUAAAUCUUCCCUGGAACAAGAUGGAGUAUAAAUAAAUAAUCACUAUAUUUUUGUAUCUCAUUUUCCCCCUCUAGUCACAGCGUUAAUGUAAAAACUCUAUCCGCCCAGUGAAAUAUUUCAUCAGAACGUGGGUACCCUGUUUUGUCAGAGGGUUUUUUUUUUUAGCCAAAAUACCUUACAACUUUUUGUUACUGAGUCAUAUACUAAUAAUAUGAAAAGUUAUAAACAGGAAAUUUGGAUCAGUGGAUAAAGAAUGCCUGUAGCAAUUGAUUCAGUCUCACAGUCACCUCACCCCAGGCGUAAGCUUGAGAGAGGCAGUUUGUUUUUGGUGCUAAUGCUGUUUUCUCCAAUGCCCCAUUUCCAUUUUUUCUUCUGCCUCAGAUUUCAACACUUCCAUGUAACUAGCUAAUCUGAUAUAUCCACACCUGUUUAUGUGUUAAUAGAAAAAGUCUAGAAAAGCCCAUUUUGGGGCUCUCUCUGUCUUUCUAGGUCCUAGGUGUCAAAGGAUAUUUCAACAGUGUUUGUAUGUCAUGGCGCCAUUUUCUUCACUUCUGUGAUCAAAGAGAGAAGUGAUGCCAAAUGAGAACUUCAGUUCAAAAAGAAAGAAAGGUUGCAGCAAGCACAAUCAAGAACAUCAAAGGAGAGAGAGACCUGUAUGGCUCAGUGGAUACCAUCAUCCAGGACAGAAAAGAGUAUCUUCUGCCUUUCCACCCAUCUACUUCUUCAAGCUAUAAAAACUGCAGUGGGGGAGCCAGUCCACUGAACUCAUGAGGCCCAUUAGGUGGGCCCUUAACCAAUAUGUCUCCUGUCCUUAUAAAAAUGGGAAGUUUGGACACAGACAUGCACACAAGGAGAAUGUUAAGUAAAGAUGAAGGCAGAGAUCACAGUGAUGCUGUUAUGAGCCAAGGAAUGCCACAGACUGCCAGCAAACCACAAGAAGGUGGGUGACAGGCAUGGGACAGAUUCUCUUUUGUAGCUCUUAGAAGGAAGCAACCCUGCACAUACCCUGAACUAGGGACUUCCAGCCUCCAGGAUGGUAAGACUAUCAAUUUCUGUUGUUUAAGCCACUUGGUCUGUGGUACUUUCUUAGAGCAGCUCUAGAAAACCAACACAGGGCAUUACCAGGAAAAUUAAGGGAACUCAAUUGGGGAAAGUUAAGGAGAGGACAAAGUUAAUGCUAAGAAGUACAUAAAGCUCCAUUUCCUUAAUGUCUUUGAAAUCCAAAUUAAUUCCUUUUUAUACUUAACUAUUUUACUGCCAAUAUCCAAUCAGGAUAAGAGCUGGAUAAUGACACUGACAGUUACAGAAACUACAAGUGUUCCAGCAAUUUCUGUAUAUAGUUCUUCUGUUCAGUCCUGCAUUGUAGUCUCCUUUUGGAUACUGGAUGCUAUGGAACCAUCCAUAACCAUUCAUCCCUCUAUGUGUGACCUUGUGGAAUGGAACUCUGUAAUACCUCGCUUAUGGGGAAAGCUACCUAUCACCACUUGGUGCCCUUUUCUUUUCUCUAGCAAGUGAAGUUAAUAGAGAUCCCAUAAAAGGGAAAGCAACGAGUGUGUCCAAAGGGUCCACAAAUAGUUUGCAAUAUGGCAUAACUAGAACCCAGGUCUUCUGAUGUCCCACCCAGUGAUCUUUCCAAGGCAUUGUUUCUGUCCAGUUAUUGAGCUAGCAGUUUAGGUAACUUCUCACCAAUUAUCAGAACUUAUCAGAUUUCAGAAUAAGCAUUCCUUCCUUAAAUACAUGUGUCUUCUCCAGUACUCAGGAAUGUGGCUUUAUAUCAGUCACAUCUUUUCUAGAUAUGAGUUUCCUCAUUUAUAAAAUAAAGGAAAAACUCACUGGAUAAUCUACUUUUGACAUUCCGCAGAAAUAGAAUCAGCAUCAGCAUAGUGGAAAGACCUAGAUUUAAGUACAGCUAUUGUCAGUUUCAACAUAAGUAAUAGUGGUCAGGUAACUUAGCUUUACUGGGUCCUCAUUUGUAAAUUGGGAAAUGGGGGUGAUAUCUCUUUCACUGGGCCAUUACAAGAAUGAAAUAAAUAGCACAUGUGGGAACAUGUUCUAAACUCAGAUGUGUAUUAAAGAAGCUAAAAGUAAAGUAGCACAGUAAAGAUUCUGUAACAUUACAACCUGCUUUCCCAUUCCAAGUUGUAGAGGAGAUAUGUUGCAGUAUCCUAUCAGGUUUCACCAGACUGAUACUAAGUGUAUAGUCCACUAUGUUUUUACAAGCUUCAGAGUCUGACCUAGCAAAAAAUAAGUACAUCAAAGUAUUUCAGGACCUCAUAAUUAGUGGAUAAAUUUGGGUAUCCCCAUUAUCCUAAGCAUUUACGUCACUAUUUUUAUCUCUUGCUUAUCCAAUUCCUUGACUUCAUAGUAAGCAUCUAUGACAACAAAGAGUAUAUUUUGGUCACCUCUAUUCUCUGGAAUCUACCUGUAUUUUGAAUGAAUUAAUAUUUAAAUAAAUACUACAGUCUUGUUCAAUUCCACCUGGGCCAUAAUAAUUUUUAAUGAAAAGUUUAAGGGCAAAA